GAGGUCUGAAGAGAAAGCUGGAGAAAAAAUACGGUCCUUGGAUUAUUUAUAGGGCUUUGGGUGGUCUGUAGGAGGGAAGGGGUGUUGCACAAAAGGAGGAAAGAACAUCUACAUCGAUGCUGACUGCUAGAUUGAUGUCGGAGCAAGGGCUGUCGCGGGGUCUCUGCCUGACACAGGGCUGAAAGGAGACGCGCUCCGCUGAGUUACCGCGCUCAGCUCCACAGCAGCUGGGGGACAUCCAGCAGUAGUAAACGCAGCUGACAACUACAUCUGCACUCUAGAGAUGGAAAGAUCCCCGUUUCGUUUGAAAACAGAUAGACAAGUCUCUCCGGCUGGCUCCCCGAGGACCGGGUGCAUUUUGGAUGCCAUCCUGACCACGGACGGACAGACACAGAGCAACACGCACUGAUCUGAGCUGACUGAGGCAGGGAUCGCUCCCCACCUCCGUGACCGCUGUGUAAAUCGGACCAGACACCGCAGCAAGGGGAAGCUUUCCGUGGCCGUGGGUGCCGAAAGAUAGGUUUAUUUUUACUAUUAUUUAAUGAUUUAAUUUACCUAAUCUCAGGGUUUCCCAAUCAGCAAAGCAGCCGCUCAGGGGCUCCCCAGCCCACAUCCUGCAGUGAAAGCACAGCAGAACAUCAGUUGUCACCAGCGAGACUGAAACGGGGACGGAAGGGGAGCGCGAGGGAGAAGGGGCAUUAUUACAUGCUUGAUUUUGCAGACAAAAUGAAUCACCCGACAGAGCCAGAAUAUCCUCUGGAGCAAAAGGUCUCACCGCUCCGGGCGUUAUCGCGGCAGGACGUGUGUGCAUGCCUUGGAUUAACCCUUGUGCUCUCAGAACGCUGCGGGUUGAGCGGCUGCUGAUAGCUUAUUCUGUAAGCCAGGGGGCUUCCUCGGACUUACAGCUGUGCAGCAGUCGAUCCAGAGGCAGAAACAAAGUCCCCGGGCACAAGUCUUGAAAGAAGAACACCAAAAAUCAUCCCACUCCUCCUUUUUCUUCUUCUUCCCUCGAUGCGCCGCUGCCAGAUUCUAAAUUGCACUUAAGUUAGUUUGAAGUUUUUCACUUGGGCAAUGUGUCACUACGGGAAUAAAACUAAAUACACACCUGGAUAGCAUUAGAUAAUUGACAAAUGCCUUUUUUUAAGCAUAUUUCUCUUUCUGAAGAUGAUUCAGAUUCAAGUUUGAAUAAAAAUCUGGGUAUCCUCA